rnacentral:rRNA from 1 species
CCUCGGAUCAGGUAGGGAUACCCGCUGAACUUAAGCAUAUA